rnacentral:rRNA from 1 species
CCUACGGGUGGCAGCAGUGGGGAAUAUUGCACAAUGGGGGAAACCCUGAUGCAGCGACGCCGCGUGAGUGAAGAAGUAUUUCGGUAUGUAAAGCCCUAUCAGCAGGGAAGAAAAUGACGGUACCUGAUUAAGAAGCCCCGGCUAACUACGUGCCAGCAGCCGCGGUAAUACGUAGGGGGCAAGCGUUAUCCGGAUUUACUGGGUGUAAAGGGGGCGUAGACGGCAGCGCAAGUCUGAAGUGAAAUGCCGGGGCUUAACCCCGGAACAGCUUUGGAAACUGUGCAGCUAGAGUGCAGGAGAGGUAAGUGGAAUUCGUAGUGUAGCGGUGAAAUGCGUAGAUAUUAGGAGGAACACCAGUGGCGAAGGCGGCUUACUGGACUGUAACUGACGUUGAGGCACGAAAGCGUGGGGAGCGAACAGGAUUAGAUACCCGUGUAGUC